rnacentral:rRNA from 1 species
GGUUAAGCGACUAAGCGUACACGGUGGAUGCCCUGGCAGUCAGAGGCGAUGAAGGACGUGCUAAUCUGCGAUAAGCGUCGGUAAGGUGAUAUGAACCGUUAUAACCGGCGAUUUCCGAAUGGGGAAACCCAGUGUGUUUCGACACACUAUCAUUACGUGAAUACAUAGCGUAAUGAAGCGAACCGGGGGAACUGAAACAUCUAAGUACCCCGAGGAAAAGAAAUCAACCGAGAUUCCCCCAGUAGCGGCGAGCGAACGGGGAGCAGCCCAGAGUCUGAAUCAGCUUGUGUGUUAGUGGAACGGUCUGGAAAGUCCGACGGUACAGGGUGAUAGUCCCGUACACCAAAAUGCACAGGUUGUGAACUCGAAGAGUAGGGCGGGACACGUGGUAUCCUGUCUGAAUAUGGGGGGACCAUCCUCCAAGGCUAAAUACUCCUGACUGACCGAUAGUGAACCAGUACCGUGAGGGAAAGGCGAAAAGAACCCCGGCGAGGGGAGUGAAAAAGAACCUGAAACCGUGUACGUACAAGCAGUGGGAGC